GUGCGAAGAACCAGACACGACUGAAGUGACUAGUACACACACACAUUUCCUCUUGAAAGAAAAGAACUGAUAAUCUGUCAGCAAGCAUAAGAAUGGAACAUGAUAGAAGAAACCACCUCACAGAAGAAUAAGUCACUCACACCAGAUUCAAGCGGUUUGGAAACAAUAUUUUUUUAACUAAAAAAAGGGGGGUUGAGGAGAAGAGUGAAGUACAUCACAAACUAAAAAAUACUAAUUGUGUCCCAUUCCCCUACUUCUCCUCUCUUAAUAUUUCCAGUAGCUUCAAAUGUGACCUGGCUGACAUCACAACAGACCCAACAGAGGCAAAAAAAAAUUUAUACACUGAAUUUGGGAAAGCAUUCAAAAAAGUAUAAUUUGUUUUGUUUUAUAAGGCUAUAAGUUCAAUAUGAGGGAAGGAUAAAGACAGCAUAUUCCUGCCUCUGGCAACUUCCAGCAGUGUGUGUGUUUAAGAACAAUUGAGGUGAUCCAAUGGUUAAGAAUCCCCUUGCAAUGCAGGGACAUAGGUUUGAUCCCUGGUUAGGGAACUAAGAUCCCACAUGCCUCGGGACAACUAAGCCUUCAAGGCAACCAUUACAAAGAAGGUAAAUCAAUGAUGUAAACUGUAAAACAUACACACAUUUCAACUUUUUGCAAUUACAUAAGAAUCACAUUUUCAUCAACAUUAUGUUUUAAGAGAUCAGAAAACAUGUAUGAGAUUCCAGGAUACAGUUUUAGUUUGCACAAUUCUGAGAAACAGUGUGAGAAACAACAUUUUUAAGUGAUGUUCUAGAACAUUUCUCCACAACUGGACUUAAUCACGGAGAUAGUGCCUUUGUUUCUGGAAAAUUGUGCCAACAAUAAAAAUACCAGAGCAAACAGUGAAAGAUCUUUAACGUUUAUCCAUUUCUCUAGGGGUAUCUUUUUUUCUCUAUUAAAAAACAAAUGUUUUCUUGUGAAAUGUAACACAUAUACAGAAAUAUGCAUAAAGAUGAUUAUAAGGUAAACCUGUAUAUUCACCGCCUUCCAAGGAAUCCUGCUUUAGUAGACCGUAGUCACCUCUCAGUCACAACCCUGUCCUUUAUGUCUAGUGAGGUCACUGCCCUGAUUUCCAUGGUGAUCAUUUCCUUGCCUUUAUUCAUAGAUAAACACUCUUCAAAGUGAUGAGGUAAAUCUACAACUCCUCAUAAAAAAAAAAAAAUUCACCUAAUUUUAUGGCUACUGAUUUUUAUAUUCACAGAAAACAUUUUCAUGGAGGGAGAUAGGAUUGGAAAUGUACCUGUUAAACAACCUAAACUAAAGCUUGUUAAUUGUUACUUGUUAGAAGACUGUUUUGCAAAGGGCCCAAAAUAUUGCACCCAGAAGAUAUAAUUGAAUACUAAUGAGUACAUCAGGUAAGUUUCAGAAACAACCUGUCAUCUGUGGCAAACUGAAGAACUUUCAAAAGAAGGGAGGCCAGGAAAAUUAGGGAAAAUAAUAUCCUAUAAAAGAUCUCAGAAAAUAAAGUAGAGCUUCUUGCCCUUGGAAGAAACAGGAGUGAAUAUAGAAAGCAUUCAUUGGGAAUCCCCUGGCGGUCCAGAGGUUAGGACUUAAUGAUUUUACUGCCUGCCCCAGUUCAAUCCCUGGUCUGGAAAGAAGAUCCUGCAAACUGCAGUGCAAUCAUAAAUAGCAUUCAUUUUAAGUGUAUCUACUGAGGUCAAGGUCUGAAACUCCAGAAGAAGAGGUUAUAAAGUAACAGUAGUGGGACUUCCGUGGUGGCCCAGUGGCUAAGACUCAGCGCUCCCAAUGCAGGGGGCCUGGGUUCAAUCCUUGGUCAGGGAACUAGAUUCCACAUGCUGCAGCUUUGUUCACAUGUCAUAAGUAAACGAUUCUGCAACUAAGACCCAAGGCAGCUAAAUAAAUAAAUAAUUU